AGCAGCCGCGGUAAUUCCAGCUCCAAUAGCGUAUAUUAAAGUUGCUGCAGUUAAAAAGCUCGUAGUUGAAUUUCGGGACCAAUAUGUCGGUCGUGCCUCGGUACGUACUGGCAUCGUUGGUUUCUCCCUUCUGACGAACCAUGAUGUCAUUUAUUUGGUGUCGUGGGAAAUCAGGACUGUUACUUUGAAAAAAUUAGAGUGUUUAAAGCAGGCUCACGCUUGAAUACAUUAGCAUGGAAUAAUGAAAUAGGACGUUUGAUUCUAUUUUGUUGGUUUCUAGGAUCGACGUAAUGAUUAAUAGGGAUAGUUGGGGGCAUUAGUAUUCAAUUGUCAGAGGUGAAAUUCUUGGAUUUAUUGAAGACUAACUACUGCGAAAGCAUUUGCCAAGGAUGUUUUCAUUAAUCAAGAACGAAAGUUAGGGGAUCGAAGACGAUCAGAUACCGUCGUAGUCUUAACCAUAAACUAUGCCGACUAGGGAUCGGAUGAUGUUAAUUUUUUAAUGACUCAUUCGGCGCCUUACG
rnacentral:rRNA from 1 species